AAUGAACGCUGGCGGCGCGCCUAAUACAUGCAAGUCGAGCGAGAAGACGUAGCAAUACGUUUGUAAAGCGGCGAACGGGUGAGGAAUACAUGGGUAACCUACCCUCGAGUGGGGAAUAACUAGCCGAAAGGUUAGCUAAUACCGCGUACGCUCCUUGGACUUCGGUUCAGGGAGGAAAGCGAUACCGUGGGUAUCGCGCUCUUGGUUGGGCUCAUGUCCUAUCAGCUUGUUGGUGAGGAACGGCUCACCAAGGCUUCGACGGGUAGCUGGUCUGAGAGGACGAUCAGCCACACUGGCACUGCGACACGGGCCAGACUCCUACGGGAGGCAGCAGUAAGGAAUAUUGCGCAAUGGGCGAAAGCCUGACGCAGCGACGCCGCGUGGGGGAGUGAAGGGUC
rnacentral:rRNA from 1 species